UACAGAGGUCUCAAGCGUUGUUCGGAUUCAUUGGGCGUAAAGGGUGCGUAGGCGGCGAGGUAAGUCAGAUGUGAAAUCCCGGAGCUCAACUCCGGAACUGCAUUUGAUACUGCUUCGCUUGAGUACUGGAGAGGAGACUGGAAUUUACGGUGUAGCAGUGAAAUGCGUAGAUAUCGUAAGGAAGACCAGUGGCGAAGGCGAGUCUCUGGACAGUUACUGACGCUGAGGCACGAAGGCCAGGGGAGCAAACGGG
rnacentral:rRNA from 1 species